rnacentral:rRNA from 1 species
UACGAAGGGGGCGAGCGUUGUUCGGAAUCACUGGGCGUAAAGGGCGCGUAGGCGGCCCUCUUUGUCGCGUGUGAAAGCCCCGGGCUCAACCUGGGAACGGCGCGCGAAACGGGGGGGCUGGAGUUCGGGAGAGGAGAGUGGAAUUCCCAGUGUAGAGGUGAAAUUCGUAGAUAUUGGGAAGAACACCGGUGGCGAAGGCGGCUCUCUGGGACGGUACUGACGCUGAGACGCGAAAGCGUGGGGAGCGAACAGG